rnacentral:rRNA from 1 species
UACAGAGGUCCCAAGCGUUGUUCGGAUUCACUGGGCGUAAAGGGUGCGUAGGUGGUUGGGCAAGUCUGAUGUGAAAUCUCCGGGCUUAACCCGGAAAUGGCAUUGGAAACUGCCUGGCUAGAGUGUUGGAGGGGGGACUGGAAUUCUCGGUGUAGCAGUGAAAUGCGUAGAUAUCGAGAGGAACACCAGUGGCGAAGGCGAGUCCCUGGACAACGACUGACACUGAGGCACGAAAGCGUGGGGAUCAAACAGG